UACAGAGGGGGCAAGCGUUGUUCGGAAUUACUGGGCGUAAAGGGCGCGUAGGCGGCCUUCUAAGUCGAACGUGAAAUCCCCGGGCUCAACCCGGGAACUGCGUCCGAUACUGGAAGGCUUGAAUCCGGGAGAGGGAUGCGGAAUUCCAGGUGUAGCGGUGAAAUGCGUAGAUAUCUGGAGGAACACCGGUGGCGAAGGCGGCAUCCUGGACCGGCAUUGACGCUGAGGAGCGAAAGCGUGGGGAGCGAACAGG
rnacentral:rRNA from 1 species